AUUGAACGCUGGCGGCAGGCCUAACACAUGCAAGUCGAGCGAGUGGCGGACGGGUGAGUAAUGUCUGGGAAUCUGCCCGAUAGAGGGGGAUAACUACUGGAAACGGUGGCUAAUACCGCAUACUAUCGGAUGAACCCAGAUGGGAUUAGCUAGUAGGUGGGGUAAAGGCUCACCUAGGCGACGAUCCCUAGCUGGUCUGAGAGGAUGACCAGCCACACUGGAACUGAGAAACGGUCCAGACUCCUACGGGAGGCAGCAGUGGGGAAUAUUGCACAAUGGGCGCAAGCCUGAUGCAGCCAUGCCGCGUGUAUGAAGAAGGCCUUCGGGUUGUAAAGUACUUUCAGCGGGGAGGCGUUACCCGCAGAAGAAGCACCGGCUAACUCCGUGCCAGCAGCCGCGGUAAUUC
rnacentral:rRNA from 1 species